GCUAUAGUAAUCUCCAAUAGAAUAAUUACAAAGUUAUCAACCUUUUUAGAAAUUCAGUAAUGCUUUAUAUUUUUUAUCAUCUAUCAAUUCAUUAUGAAUUAUUUUCUAUUUCAGAGGCAACAAACCAUAAUCAUGGAGGGGGGGGUUUUAAACCCGUCCCCUACCCCAGAGGGGUUUAUAUCGUUGGGGUCGGUGGGCCCCUACGACAUAUUCAUAGAGAAAGACGUCAAUAUAACGGUAUGGUGUCUUAAACGAUGCUGAUUAGUUUAUAUUUUUUUAAUUUUGAAAGAUAUAUUGCUUGAUACCAAUUGGGCAUAAUUAUGAACAUCGAAGAAUCAGCUGACAUGUGAUCAAAACAAUGAAACAGAAUAAUCAUACAUGUUUACUAAAUGAUUCCUCGUUUACUUAUGUGGCAACUUUAACAUACAUUUUUCAUACUGGUAUGAACUAAAGUAUUCAAUUUUUGAUAAAUAUAUGGUACUCACGGUAACGGUCAUCACUGGUCGACGCUAUCCCGACUCAACCCCUCAGCUUGAAUGAUUUCAGUUUGAGCCGCACGUGCUACCUAUGCAACCAACUAAACUUUGAGUGCAUUAUUCUGCCUAAACGGUCGCAGGCGCUGAAUUUAUAUUUGGAACGCAUAUAUGACUGCAUAAAAUAAGUGUGCAUAAUUAUGACCAGAGCGUCUGAAGGGGUUAAAUUUUUAAAAAUUUUUUUGUUUUUAUCGAAUGCCUUAUCAUAACAUCGAAACAUCUAAAUUUAGCCAAGAUUCAAAUCUAAGAAGGUAUAUGUAGAAGUUGUUAAAUAUGUAUCUAAUUAAUUUGAAGAGGAUUAUAUCAGGUUUGUUAGUAAUCAUAUAGAUAUGAAGAACAAAAUAAAUUUCAACAAUAUGAGAGUGUCAAGUUGGCAAAAAUAAAAUGAUAAAUACCUUUAGUUAGUUGAAACUAAAAAUAUGAAGGUACCAAGCAGCCCAUCACAAAAAGCUAUUUCAUAUCCUCCAUAGCUACUAAGCGAAUGUGCCCCUUCAGGAAUUCGCGCUCCUGACCAUCCCCACAAAAUAGUAAGAGUAAGGGGCUGAAAUGAUUGGUAAUAAUAAUAAUAUAAUAGUUAUUUUAUUAGAUAAAAUAUUACUCCAUAGCGAAUUAUUCUAAUAAUUGAUAGAAAUAUGUACACAAAGCAACCACUCUAUCCUUGUGCAGAAAUGUAAUUGAUUUGAAUAAUAGGGAUCUUUCGUUUUUCCGCAAAAGGAAAUGCAGAGAUACCACAUUAUUCCUGAUAAAAAUGCAACAUUGUAACAAAUUAUCAGCUGCUUCGUUCGAAUGAUAGUUCAGGAUAUGAAGCACUGAUUGAAGUCGUUUUAAAUAAUAUUUUCUAAAAAAAAAGCUUGUGGGGUUGGGUAAGGUCAAGGUAACAUUUUCAUUGGAUAUGAGUAUAUCUCCUAUUUUUUCGCAAUAGAAUCCGAUUGAAUGGGGAGAUAUCCGAAAACUGCAAUGCGUAAUUACUACUAUAUAUAUUUUUUUUUAGAAGGUGGGACACACAUUCUACAUUUAUCUGUAAAAUAAUCGUUUUCAUAACUCGCAGUAUUUCGCCGUUUAUUCGUUGACCCAAGAGAAGAUCGCUCUCAGCCCUCACGAUGACAAACGAUAUCUAGUAUCUGGAACCUUUGAAACACUACCCUGGGACCAUUAUUCCAUCAACAAACGAAAAACAGAAGAACCUGAUGAGCCAAGGAAGAAGAUUACUAUAUUGGAAACACUAUUAACUAUGUAACACUCUGUAAUUGUUUUCCACUAAUUGUAUAAUAAAUAACCAAAUUCAAUUAUUUGUAAAUAGGUAAAACACCUCUUACUUCAAAUGAAAAAACACUUUAUGGAAUAAACGUAUUAUAAGUGGAUGGCCUUUUAUUCCCGAACACAAUUGGAUCUCCACAGCCUGUAUAUUCAUAAUUAGCAAUCAUAACGCUUCCGUUUGUGACAUCAAGAUAUGAAAAUUCCCAGCUAAUAGUUUGUUGUUGAUAAAUCCUAUUAUCAGGUAUUAUGAGGUAGGUUUGAAUAAUAAAUAGAUGAUUAGAGAGUUUAACAUAUCCUAGUCAACCUAUUUCAAGAUAUGAAUUCAGUGAAUUUCCGAACAAGGCUGUGAAAUAGAUACACUACUCAAACUACCACGUCAGAUAGACGUAUUACUAAAGCAAUCAAAAAACUCUUUUGAGUAUGGUCAUAUCAAUCUAAGUAAUAUUUUUUUUUUGAUGAAAUUGAGGUGUUCUGUUGAUUAGUAUUGCGUAUCAUAAUCAUCAUAAAUAGGAUGCACCCAAGAUUGCAAAACAUCUAAGGUCGAAUGAUACCUUACGAUCAUCUAAUCACAUUGUAAUAAUUUUUGAGCGAAUUGCAUAACAUCCUGAUGGUAUGGUAAUCAGACUGAAUGUUGAUAAUAAAACGAGUAAAUAUAAAAAGGAAAAAAUUUCUACGAUUCAGAAUCAGUUCGAGUUGACAUCUCUUCCUAAUAUCUCAAGUGAUCUCUACAGAUAAUGCGAAUCAAAUAUUUCAAAGCGACUGAAGCUAUGAAAGCGGUGAUAAACUUGGGCAUAGAUGAUCCCAUUAUAAAUCAGUGGUAUCGUCAGCGAGAAAAACACUGUUACAUUCUCUACGUUGAUGAUAAACCCGCGUAGAAUGAAUCCAUAUCUGUUGAAAGUUUUAUGUAAUCUUAGAAUGUAUGUACUUCUGUAAGAACAAGGUAUUGAACAAUGUAGAUAAUGAGCAUUAUACGUUUAGCCAAUAAAAAUAAAUGUUCUUAAAAUUGUU